rnacentral:rRNA from 1 species
GACGAACGCUGGCGGCGUGCUUAACACAUGCAAGUCGAACGAUGAAGCUGGAGCUUGCUCCGGUGGAUUAGUGGCGAACGGGUGAGUAACACGUGAGCAAUCUGCCCUUGACUCUGGGAUAACUGCGGGAAACUGUAGUUAAUACCGGAUACUUUCACUGGAAGGCAUCUUCUGGUGAAGAAAGAAUUUCGGUCAAGGAUGAGCUCGCGGCCUAUCAGCUUGUUGGUGAGGUAACGGCUCACCAAGGCGACGACGGGUAGCCGGCCUGAGAGGGUGACCGGCCACACUGGGACUGAGACACGGCCCAGACUCCUACGGGAGGCAGCAGUGGGGAAUAUUGCACAAUGGGCGCAAGCCUGAUGCAGCAACGCUGCGUGAGGGAUGAAGGCCUUCGGGUUGUAAACCUCUUUUAGCAGGGAAGAAGCGAAAGUGACGGUACCUGCAGAAAAAGCACCGGCUAACUACGUGCCAGCAGCCGCCGUAA